rnacentral:sRNA from 1 species
GCCGACGGGGAGGGGUAUCGCGUCUUCCAUCUUUGGAGGAGUGUCCUUUGAUGAGGAUUGGGCUUUGUCACUGUCUUGAAGGGAUGAAAGACAAGCCAGUGUUGUCUCAUGGCAGACUUUGUGAUGAUACAGGAUGAGAGAACUGAAGGACAGAACUGGGGUUUAGAAGCUCUCCUAUUUUUGUGUUGAUUCUUCUUUUGUGGGUUUUGACAUAAGCGCUGAGUCGGGAAUCACAAACAAACCGCAAUUGGGAUGCAGUUUGUCGGGAUAACAUGAUGUUCUGUGAUUAUCCUUGCAGCCCCCUGAAAAUGGUUGUUGAAAUCCAUCCAUUCUGCUCCGUUGCAGAAAAGUAGGAUCUCCCAUCUUCUAGAAAUGUG